rnacentral:rRNA from 1 species
UAAUGUAUGGGGAUCUGCCCGAUAGAGGGGGAUAACUACUGGAAACGGUGGCUAAUACCGCAUAAUGUCUACGGACCAAAGCAGGGGCUCUUCGGACCUUGCACUAUCGGAUGAACCCACAUGGGAUUAGCUAGUAGGUGGGGUAAAGGCUCACCUAGGCGACGAUCUCUAGCUGGUCUGAGAGGAUGAUCAGCCACACUGGGACUGAGACACGGCCCAG